GGAUCUUGUGAUAAAGAAAUGUGAUGCCUAGAGCUAAUUAAUGAUGGAACUGUUGGUUGUAUACAGUGAUACUGAGGAACAACAACAACAGCCUGAUUCAUGACGAAGCUCAUGAGACUUUGGGGAAUCAACAGCAAAAAAUGCUGAGCUACAUCAGGUUGCUGUACUUAAAGUUUUGAUAUCAGCAUCUCAAUUGAUGACGAUGUUAUAGGGCGAUGGUACAGACAUCAUUGGUAGUGUGAGUAGUGUCAGAGAACACACAAGUAAUGCAUUCACUGCAGUGCCGGAUCUUAAAUAUGCAGAAACUUUUGUUGGUGUGGAUAUUAGUCAUGAAUUAA